rnacentral:lncRNA from 1 species
CGGGAGGCUGAGGCAGGAGGAUCGCUGGGCUACAUAGUGAGUUCCAGGUCAGACUCAACUACAUAGUGAGACCCUGUCUCAAAAAACCAAAAAAUAAAUAAAUAAAAUAAAAUUACUUCUAAUCAAGAAGAAGAUGUACAGCUGGCAACAGAAAUUUGCCUUGUACAUGGAAUAAAUGAGACCUAAGAUGAUUUAGUAAUGUAUCAGAGGACACAAAGAAAGGAUAACAAAGCCAAAGUUGGGACUCUGCCAUUCAUGUGUCAUUCUGUUAGCACCACAAUUUAGCAUCACAAUUCUGAGCUGGAAAUGUGAUCACCACACAACAGACAAGUGGAAAAUUGGCCAUUCAGCAAAACAUGGUGGAAGGAAAGCAGGCUGCUGGUAAACCUCGAAGGAGCUCUCGGAUUAAAAACUGGCAGUCAUUGCUCUAUCAAGCUGUUCGUUCCCAGGGAUUUGUGAUUCUCAAGUUGGAGAAGGC